GGACCCACGGCGAGGAAGGGCAGAGGUGGGGAGCUGGUGGGAUGGGGCGAGCAGGGACACCACAAAACCGAGUGAGAAAAUAGGGGCCAUUUACUUUUCUAUAAUAAAAACUGCAUAAAGACACACCGGCAAUCCCAAACCCUCCAAAACCCACCGGACUCACGUCGCUUUUUGGCUCCCUAUGGCACACACCGCCCCAUUACCUGCCUUCACCCAGCUGCCUGGGCUGCCUCUUUCCAAGCCCUCCGCAGCAGACCUACUUUUUAAAUUUAUUUACCCCACCAAGGAGAUGAGGAACCGCACAGAAGCACUUUGGGUUUAUGGAUUUGUGCCUGUCUCUCCACUGCUACCCUCACCAGAUGAACACUGCCCAGCUGCCGGCCCAGGGAUGCUUUGCGGGCAGCUCCCAGCACGCUGCCUGCACGCACCUCUCGCUCUGCCCAGGAGGGCAAGAGCUGCCCAAAACUCAGAGAACACAGUCCUGAGACAGAAAAUCACCGUGUUCCACUCUCCAACAUCGCCUGGCACGUGAAGCCUUGGCCAGCCACUGCAAACCCAGCGCCCCCACCCUACAGCAGCGGCAUCUUCGGCAUGGGGAAAUUGAGGCACGCCUGGUGCGCAUGGGCUCUUACACUCUUGGGAAGCUGGUGGCAACGUAACCGCAGAAGUGAGCCAUCCCUGGCUGAGAAGAGGCACAGCCGUGGCCAUCUCGUACACCCAAGCGAGCCUGGGUCAAUAAAACAGGCCCCUGCCCACCUUGCUACCCCCCGCCCCACUGCCGGGCAUUGCCCCACUCCUGCCCUGCUGCUUCCUCCCCAGCAGCUUAGGAAGGGAGUCAGGUUUGUUUUGCAACAAGCUUUGCUUUUCAUUGCAAUAAACUCCGGUGCAUGCAACGGGCUGGCACUGGCAGGGCUCGUGUUGCCGGCAGCCUGGUGCAUGCCAUGGCACCACCCGCAGCGUCACUGCCAGGGCGUGUGAUGCCCCCUGAUCACCCCAACCCCUACCAUCACCAACCUCCUCCAUGCCCACGGAAGCUCAGCUCUUGGCUGCUACGUCACCUCCCAUCGCUCCCUGUUUGCACAACUCCCCUCCCCGGGGAUCAAGUCGGAGCGCGCCCGCCUGUGCCGACUCAGCUCCCGGUGCAGCAGGGACGCUGCGCUGGCUGGAGCAACCCCAGGCAAGCGAGGCAAUGCCACCGGGUUGGGGAGCACCGGCUGGUUUACCUCUGCUUUGCAAACAAGCAUGGCACAAAGGAGCUGGUCCUUGCAGAGCUCCAUCUGACCCAAAGAACAGUGCUGUCCACAAAAACCACCCACCCACCGACUGGAACAGAGGAACAGACCCUCUACAAAGUCUCUUGCAGCAAAAUGCCGCCUGCUUCCAGGAAAACUUGCCAAAACAUUUCCACUGCACCGUGGAAACCCCCUUCUCCAUCCUCACGUCUCGCAAAAAGAAAGAAAAAAACCCCCCAAAAACCAAAUUAAGGAGACAUUUCGAAACAGAGCUGAUUUCUUUUUUCCCCCCGGUUUUCCUUUCAAGGAAAAACUUUUCUCAGAAAUGACACGUUUUUGUCAAACACUUCACUUGUGACAAAUUGGCACUGUCACCGAGAAGUGCGCGCGGCUGGGAGCUUCGCGGCGCUUUGGGAAGCCUCCGUCUGCUUUUAGCGAGUUCAAAAACCGACAGAGGCGAGGCUGCAAAACGUAACGUGUGAGGCAGAGGAUUAAUUAACGUAGAUCUGGCUCCAAAACCAGAGGAGGUAAGAGUAAUUUUCAUUCAGGAACUUGGCAUCUCCUCCUCCUCCAGCGCUGCCGGAGUACUUUAAGCUCCUGAAAAUCGCACAUGCAUUGCCCAGAGUUUUUGCCGUGAUUAAUUAAAGCCUCAAUGGAGAGAAAAAUCCACAGGGAUUUAACAAAUUUUUUUAUGUCCCUACCCAGUGACGUACACAGUGACUUUCUCCUUCUUUCGAAUAGCACUGCAAAAGCUGUUUGCAACGUAAAGAGGCAAAAAAGCAACGAGUAGAGGGCAAACACCAUCAUGCCGGUUCCUGUGCUCCCAGCUGCAAGCUCGUUUGGUACAGUUGCCGGAGUUAUUUCUAUUGUGUUUGUUAUUUUAUUAGGAGAAUUAUGGUUAUCACCACAGACAUUGUAUGCCUAACAACUUCUGGGCUCCUUACAAUAUUUUCAUUCAAAUGCUAAAAAGGCUGUAAUGAGACUAAGAUAAUGGCCUGCAAAAAGAAUAAGAUAUGGAUCAGAAUUGGGGGAAUUUGGUUUUAAAAAAAAAAACAACAAACAAAAAAGGAGAAGGAAAACAAACAAAAAUUACCCAUCCCAAUUAGCAUUCGAAGACAGUAAAGGGGGGGGCGGGAAAUAGGUAUACUGGGGAGGGUUGUUUCAGCUGGUACCUAAACCCCAGCGCAACCUGCCCUGCUGCAUCUCGGGUGAUGAGCAGCUCUGCCUUGGAGAGCGGCUGGCAGGGGAGGGAAGCCCCCAGCCCCUGAGCCCCCACUGCUGAGCACCGAGCCCCUGCUGCCGAGCGCCUCGCCAGCUGGGACCCACACCCCUGGGGGGCCAGGUGCCCACCAGUGCCGUGCCCUUGGCAGGCAGCCUGCUGCUCGCUGCCUGCAUCCAGCAGCGAUGCCGCCGCCUUCCCACCCUCCCGGCUUCGUCAGUGCUAACGAGCGUGCGGGGAGGCGAGGGACACCCGCAGCCGUGGAGGGGACAGGGCAUGGGUGGCUACCCGGCGUGGGCAUCGACCAGCGAAAUGUGGGCUCCCCGACAGCGCUGAACCCCACCAGAAUCAAUAUUGUCCUUUUUAAAACAACGCUGGGGGGAAACGCUGAUCUGAUAUAGAUUCAGUGUUGAGUUUUACAUUAUUCAUUGAACCUCGUUCUAUGUCAUGCUGCAGCGAAUAUAUUACCAUAUAUGAUGACAAAGAAAUUACAAAACUCCUGCAAAUACACGAUAAAGCAGCAGCCUGGGCUGCUACGGCAGCCCGCUCGAUCGCCCAUCUCUCAUUAGCAACAUGUAAUUAAGUCGCUAUACAUAGGGGUUGUGCCUGUGCCGCCAGCCACUUUAUGGUGAAAGAGGAGAAUAAUGAAUCAAAACAGUAAUAAACCAAACAGCAACAAAACCCAGCGCUGCGUGGCAGGUCUCAGACUUCGGGAAAUGUUCCCUUGUCGAGGUUUGCGAUGCCACGUCCCACCCGCCGCACAGCCAGCCACGUCACUGCAGGGCCACCGUGGGCCACCACGUCCCCAGAGCCACCCAGCUCAGCCCAGCUACACAGGGACCGCGGGGGCACUGCCAGGGAACGGGCUGCACGCAGAGAAAUAACAGGGAAAAAAAAGAAGCCUACCAGGAAAAGUUAAUAAUUUAUCUGUACAUAAAAACGCGCCCCCAUUUCUAAAGCUCACUUUGCAUCCUCAACGACAUGCACGAGUUCGCUGGGGCUGGAGGGAGCAGCUCAGUGCCAAAUCCGGACACUAUCUGUGCUAACCAGAUGUUAGUGCCUUUAUUAUUUUAUUAUUUUUAUUUUUUGAAGCUGCCCUUCAGCUUCCAGAGUUUCAAAUAAGCAAUUCCAGUGAUCCCUCUUCAUUAACCACUCCAGCAAGAUAUAAAUGUGUAUUAGGGAAUUCAGUGCAGAAAACAUCUUUUCAUGACACCUGCUGCCCACACAACCUGCUGCAUUUAUCAAAACGAACAGAGCUUACCCAGACUCCGUUUCUUUAUGGCCCAAACCUGCUGCUCACCGGGCAUGAGGCUGGGUUUGCACAGAGGGGGGAUGGGCUGGGACACCCCCCCCCCACGUCCCCUCCAGCAGCCCCACAUGGUAAGAACAUGGCACCCACCGACAGUCCCGGGGCCAGGCACGGUGUCAUGACACAGGCUUGGGACUGAACCGUGAAAGGGUUUGGGUGGGAAGGGACCGCACAGAGCACCCAGCUGCAGCCCCUGCCGUGGGCAGGGACCCCUCCCCCCAGCCCCGGCUGCUCCCAGCCCCGUCCAGCCUGGCCUUGGGCACUGCCAGGGCUGGGGCACCCGCAGCUGCUCUGGGCAGCCUGUGCCGGCGCCUCGCCGCCCUCACCGGGAGCAGUUUCUUCCCGAGAUCCAACCUCAGUCUCCCCUCUUUCAGCUUAAAGCCGUUCCGGCCUUGCCCUGUCACCA
ensembl:lncRNA